rnacentral:lncRNA from 1 species
GUAAUCGCGAAAUCGACAGAAGCGGCAACCCAAAAGAAAUCUCGAUCCAAAGAUGUUCACCCGAUACAAUCGCAUAACCAUCGAACCACGUGGAACCCCCGCUCGAGUGGCAAGCGUGCACGUCACGAGGCACGCAAUCUCCGGGUCGUCCAUACGCACGAAAAUUAUAACAGAGAUACACUUUCUCUUCUUCUUUCCAUUCCAGCUUCCUCUCUUCCCAAUGAUCUCGGAGAAUCUCUCUCUCUCUCUCUCUCUCUCUCUUCUCGAUACCGGUAAAGAACGGGAGCAACGCGAUGUGAGAAGAAAGAGAUACGAGCACAAGUGUUUAAAGGAGGAUUGCUUCCGCAAAAAUCGAGAAUCUCGAGAUGUAUUCGCUCGGAACUCGUUACACGUUCCGUAUGGUGUUGUCGCAGCAUCGGACUCGAAACUACAGGGUACGGAAACGAAGAGAAGAAAGAACACGUGAUUACACAGGCGAUCGAUCGUGCCGCGUGAACGUUUCUUCUUCUCCUCCGGUGUUAGUCGUUGAGGUGAGGAGAGGGGGGAAGGGAGGAGGGGAAAUUUGUAUGGGCCUAAAUUUAGAGAAAGGGAAAACGAGGAGUGGAGAGAUUUAACUCCGUGGGAAAAUGGGAGAAAGGAAGGCGCGUCGUUCACUGUGCUGUGAACAAAUUUUUACAUUAUUAUUAUUAAAUAUAUAUAUAUAUAUAUUAUUUAAACUUCCUAUUUUCCACCGCUCGGUGGAGAAUAAAUAUACUUUCGAGCACAAUUAAAAAUCCAUUUGGACGGUUUAAACUUCCAUCAAGAGGGAGAUUACGUGAACAACUUCCGGGCAAGAUUCAUUCCCCUUUGAAUCUAAAAAUCUUCUCGUUCCUUCUCGCUUUGAUCUCUGUGUAUAUAUAUAUAAUCAUUUCGCUUUCUCGAAGGAAAAAAAGAAGGAAGAAAGGAAGGAAGGAAGGAAGGAAGGAACGAUCUCGAUGAUAGGAAAAAAAAAUAACCGAUCGGUGGAUACAAAUUGAAAGGAAUUGUUGUCGGAUGGAAAUGGAAAUGGAGGGGGGGGGAGUGUGUGUGAAUCGUGAUCGAAUUUCUCUUUGCAGAAGUCGUCCCGAGAUGGUGUGAUCGGCGCAUCUGGCGCGCCACAUCCUGGCGGAAAGCACGAGUCAUCGCUGUGGCCUACAAUCGAAAACGAACGAAGAUGACGCUCCGUGUCGUGGGAGAUUAAAGGAAAGGGGAGUAUCUUCCGUUUUGAUGAAGACGUUCCAUACUUUGUGCGUGGGGAGAAAUCGAUCAGUGGGUCUUCCUCCCUCGUGGCCUCGCAACAUCAAAGAAUCUUCCAAGAUUUAGCAUUGUCUAACCUAAAAGCCCAUGUAAUCGUGGCCACCCAAGUGGAAAUGGAAAAUAAUGGUCGAACGAUAGAAUAGAAUUUUAUUGAAGGGGUGGGAUGGGAAAAUUUCACAUCAUUUUCACGCCUUUCGAGAUCCUUUCGAUUCUUUUCCACGACACGAUAUAUGCUACGCUGUAUUUUCUUUUUCAGGGAAAGGAAAAAUAAGGAAGGAAAUUUAAGAUUCGUUUGAAAAUGAAAGAAGAAUAUCUUAAAAUUAAUAUUUUCAAAAGCAGAGGUGAUAAGAAUUUUUGAGGAUUUUUAAGAGGAUUAAGAGGCAGAUAGGAGCGAGAUCUACAAGCGUUACUCACGCUCAACGGGGUGUAUACUCUUGUACGAGGAAAAUAGAAGAGAAAUCCGUACCGACCACCCAUCGUGAGCGUGGUGGAAAGGUGAAUUAAGUCACAAUGCGGCUACAGCGAUCCGGGAAUUUAGAGAUAAUGGGGCAGAGCAGAAACGCUGGUCCAAUUCUAUCGAAGUCGACCAGGUAUCGACUAUAUAUGACCACAAGGAAGCUCCUUUUAUUAGAAGAAAUUAUCUUUGACCCGUGCUACGCUUUACAAAAAAAAAAAAAAAAACAACCGCACACGUGCAGAGCACACCUUUAUUUAUCGUGUUGAUUCGUGUCUCUCGCAAAUUGCUCUCACGAAUUUUGAAAUUAAUCAUUCCUUUGUCAAAACGAUAUACAAUAUUUCUUUUUACAAAGUCGAAAUGGAAGAGUUUGUGUGAAUUAAAAUGAUCGAUAAAAAAAAACAAGGAAGAAAAAAAGGGAUGUGAGAAAUGAUGGAGCUUUCGGAGAGAAAGCUAUUGGAAAGAGGGAGGAAAGGGGGAAGCGUGGGAGAAACUGGAUCGACGCAAAAGCAUCGAAACCGAAUUAAAAAAAGAAGAGGCAAAGGGUAAUCGUGUGAACAGGUGCUUAAUCGUUAUUUGUCAAUCGUUAAACGUUGUGCCUUUACGAAGAUCCGAUUCAAUCUUCGAUGGACCGUGGAGAUGAUAGUAUUCUAUAAUUAGAGGCAUCGAGGAUGAAGGAAGCACAGGUUUUAAUCGGGUCCACCUACAUCCUCUGAUUUUUUAUCGCAAUCCUUUUCAACCGGAUGAAAGAAACUUGACGGUUUGAAAGCGAGU